GUUUGUGUUUUUUAAAUUUUUUAAAACAAUACAUUUUUUUACAUAUUAAUUUUUAAAUAUUUUAAAUAAAAAUUUGUAUAAUGAAACUUUUGUGUUUGGCAUUAUUAGUGAUCUUAGCAUAUUCUGUUUAUUCGGAAACUACUAGACAUUGGAAACAAAAGGAGUUAAAGUCAUGCAAGGAUGGAUGCAGUGUUACUGAGUGUUGUGCGAAAUCACCAAUGGCUAAUUAUACUACAUCCCCAAGUUAUUGUUUCGCGAAGCAAAAGGAAAAUCAAUUCUGUUCUUUACCUGGAAAUCAGUUAGCAUAUGUGUCUUGUGGUUGUCAGGAUCAUUUAAAAUGUAUUAAACUGUCAGAAUUUUGGGGAAAGUGUCGUAAAUGAGAAGCAACUGUCGACAUUUAAGAUUAAUAGACACUUUUAUGAUAUAUAUUAAUAAUUAUUGUAUAAUAAUAAUAAUUUUAGAGGAUAUCACUAAAUACAUUUAAAAUAUUUAUUUUAAAAUUCAUAAUUCUUAAAUAAUAAAGUUUAAUCAUUCAUUAUAA